CUCAUAUUGCAGUGAAUGAAUGUCUACUACCUUCAGGCAUCGCUUACCUCGGGUAGCCGGGGUGAGUAUCUUUUAUUUUUUCCUUAGUUGUAAAUGGAAGAAAGGAACAUUGCCCUUUUUUUUCUUGUUUUGUUGACGUGUAUUUCACGUGGGCGAAAAAAACAACGUGCUAGAUUUCUAUUAGUAAAGUUGUUAGCGGGCGAAACUGGCGCUUCGCCAGCGUCUAUACGUCGAUGCGACGCGAACCUUAUUCGCACGAUGUUAACGUGUGCAUCUCACGCCUGUUUUUCGAUUGACAUUAGCCUGUAAAGAUGGCCUAUCGAUGUAGCACUUAGUCAAUGUUGGAAUUAGGGCGUAAAUCCGAUUUCCGACCCCAUACUAAGGUUCGAGUCUGGCGUGUUGCGCGCCAAGCUAAGACGGAAGGCGUCAGGAUUUUUAGUGUGUUGGCACGUGAAACCGGCGCCGUUAACAUUCAGAUUCUGGUAUGGUGGUUGGCACGUGAGCUGUGUCAAGAUCGAAUUUCGGUGCGAUGCUAGAAACUGCUCAUAAUAAUAAUAACCGAAAAUCAAGCUUUAAUAUAUCAAUUAACGUAAUUCCUGUAUUUUGGGAAUCUGAUUUUUAAAUUUAUACAGUAUCGUAUUUAUUUGACACCGGAAUUUUUCUAUACUUGAGGCAGAUUUUUUAACGUAUAAUAUAAUUUAAUGGAAAAGCGCUUAUUUUAUCCAUAGCUAAUAGCUAAAAGCUAAAGGUUCGUUAUUCUAUGUAUAAAAGCUAAUGAUUACUUCGCCUCCCUCGAGUUAAUAUCAAAAGAAACCUUGGCAGAGUCUCUAGUGACUCGGCCCACUCCUAGUAGCAACCGGGCAGAACCAGGUGCAUCGUUUUCCGGAUUGUUUCCUUUCACCAUAAUUCGACCGACGAGAAUUACGCUAACGGUAACGUAUAAGUUUAUUUAACGAGAGGUCAGCGGAAAGAACGGAUUGUUAGUGAGGGUAAACGGGAAUCUUGUUUUUUUCCCUGACUGUAUCAAUAACAACGCUCCUUCCACUUCACCUCAAUUAUUUACCGCUACUCCGCUCUUACAGUAAGCUAACUGCUACCUCGACUACCUUUUUUUUAAGCCGCGCAGUAUUUUUUCCCCGUAAUGAUCUACUCGCGCGGCAGUAAUGGCCACCCAACUCUGGAACUGUGGCCGUUCCAAUGUUUUUUCGGGGGACUUUGGGGAGAAGCGUCAAUCGCCUCCCCCACUAAAUCGCUGUCGGGGGAAAUGCCCGUUUUAAGACUGCUCCGUCUUAUAAUUCGGAUUAGUUAACAAAGGCGGCGCCCCCUUUCGCCCCCCACUAAUCCGCUCCCUCUGCACUCGUGACGUCAGCUCCGAGACGUCCCGGGAGGUGCGAGGGGCGGAGACGUGACUCAUUCCGUCCACCUCCCGUUAACUCGUGCCAUUAUCUGUCCCUCCACCGUUCAUUGUCCUUGGACGGCACAAAGGGUGCUUCUCCGGCUCUCCGUAACUGAAUGGACACCGAACGGCAGCCUGUCGAUGCCAUAGAAGGUAAGGCGCCUUUUGGUUAGCGUCUGCCGGAAGCCCCUGCGCAGGGUCACCGUUUGUCCAGUCACUGGAGGUGACAGUUAUGGAUUCCCGCCCUUAUCUGUUUCCUCCGGUCAUAUCUGCGCUGUCAGAUAACCGAGGUGUCGACCGCUCUCCCAAGUAAAUCGAAUAUAGCGCGCCAACGCGAUUGAAAUUGGAAGUGGCUUUCUACUUCCGCAAUUUUUUUUUCUAAGGGGGCAACAAGUCCGAGAUGAAGUCGGAACUUGCCCAUUAAUAGAACUCUCGGCUCGUUAACUGUUCCAAACAAUAAAGGCGAUCGAAGUCGCGUAGACUCUCGGUCGCCUCGGUCUCUAAUAGGUGAUAGAUUUUUCUUCGUCUCAUUAGAUCGGCAGCCGGCCAGACGUUACCAAAGAAACUUUCACUUCUAAUCCACUUUCACUUACGUUAGUUGCUAAUCUAAGUUGGUGGAUCAUUAAUUAGCAAAAAAUGAUCGUCCGGCUGGAAGGAAGUCGUGUUCUUGUUUUGGUUCGACGCCCUUUCUAAGGAUUCGUUUAGAAUAAAUGACAUAUACGUAUACGCAUGUUCACUUGUAUUUUUCUUUUAAAUGAUAGCUUACAGCUCGGAUUACAGGCUGAUAUUCGUAUUUAUUUGGCUAGUGGAUCGAUUUAACAGUCUCGAAAUUAUAAUGACUUAAAUCGAGCCGAUUAGGAUUAAUUCCGGAUAACUAAUAGCUAUAAUUCGAAUUUAUCCAUCAUUUCCUUACACUUAAGCUAAUAUGAUUACACGUAAUCCAUGAUCUAAUAAGGUUAUUUCAUGCUCCUUUUUUGCAUUAUAUUAAAAUAAUUCAUCUUUAUAUCCUCUUCCCGAAGCAAAAACUAAAGCAAUUACGAAACCGGAAGUUUUCACAAUGCUUGUUAUGAAAUGAUAAAAAAACAAAAUCAGAAUUAAAAUUUGUUACAUAUUCUUUUGUAUGGG
rnacentral:lncRNA from 1 species